CCGCGGCCCGGUGGUGGAGCGCCUAUCCCUGCAGCGGCUAUUGCGAGAGAUGGAGCGAGGGCUAGAUGAGAUGGAGCGAGGAGACGGGCUGCCCCGAGGAGACAGUGCUUCAAAUCGGGGAGGUUCAGGUUCUGCCACCACAUUCGCAAUUAUAGUGGAAUUUUUUCCCUGUAAAGCCAAGCUCAGUGAUGGCAGUGUCCAAGACAUUGAUAGAGAUACCACCGUGAGGUUGGAUGUCGAUUUUGCAGAUGUUGAUCCCCAGGAAUUGGAGAUCAUGAAGGA